UACGUAGGGGGCAAGCGUUGUUCGGAAUUACUGGGCGUAAAGGGCGCGUAGGCGGCACAGCAAGUCGGAAGUGAAAGCCCGGGGCUCAACCCCGGAAUGUCUUUCGAAACUGCUGAGCUAGAGUGCAGAAGAGGCAACUGGAAUUCCCAGUGUAGCGGUGAAAUGCGUAGAUAUUGGGAAGAACACCUGAGGCGAAGGCGGGUUGCUGGGCUGACACUGACGCUGAGGCGCGAAAGCCAGGGGAGCAAACGGG
rnacentral:rRNA from 1 species